rnacentral:rRNA from 1 species
GAUGAACGCUGGCGGCGUGCCUAAUACAUGCAAGUCGAGCGAACGGACGCGAAGCUUGCUUCUCUGAUGUUAGCGGCAGACGGGUGAGUAACACGUGGAUAACCUACCUAUAAGACUGGGAUAACUUCGGGAAACCGGCGCUAAUACCGGAUAAUCUUUUGCACCGCAUGGUUCAAAAGUGAAAGACGGUCUUGCUGUCACUUAUAGAUGGAUCCGCGCUGCAUUAGCUAGUUGGUAAGGUAACGGCUUACCAAGGCAACGAUGCAUAGCCGACCUGAGAGGGUGAUCGGCCACACUGGAACUGAGACACGGUCCAGACUCCUACGGGAGGCAGCAGUAGGGAAUCUUACGCAAUGGGCGAAAGCCUGACGGAGCAACGGCGCGUGAGAGAUGAAGGUCUUCGGAUCGUAAAACUCUGUUAUUAGGGAAGAACAUAUGUGUAAGUAACUGUGCACAGCUUGACGGUACCUAAUCAGAAAGCCACGGCUAACUACGUG